AGACACAUUUGGGUGGAAACCUGGCAACCCAGAACAGACGUGUGGGGAAGAAACAGAAGCCAUUCGCCUUAUUAGAAGUAUGUUUACCAUCAGAAUGAUUUUGAAACUGACAUAUAAGCACCUCACUUCUGAUAUCUGCAUAUGUCAUCUGUGCUUAUAAUUUGAAAUUUAGAGAAGACGGAUACAGUAGAUUGUCAGCCCAAAAAAAAUUCUCCUGGAAAGCAAUGAGACUCCUGCAUCUUGGAAGAAGACGACCACAGUAAUAUUUACUGUACAAAGACUUACAGACUGGCUUUUGGAAAACUGGCUGUCAUCAACAUUCGGUGACCCCUCAUUAUUUGCCGUAACCUCUUGAACACUCAUGAUAAUGGCUUAAGCUCAGGUAGUUUUUGGGACUGUGUAUAAGCUGUGCAGCUCCAGAGUUACGGCUCAAAAUGGGGUCCAGAAUUGAACGUCUGUGCGCAAAGACGGUGGUCUACAAAUCAUGUACUUCUGAACAAUGGAUAGAUAUGUCCAGUUUUUAUUGCACGUUAUUCAGUAAGAAGGAAGCUAGUAUUCCAUCGGCGAAGAGCCAGUGUGUCCAGUUUUAUUCCGGUCAUAAACACCAGAUCCUCCCAGAUCAACCCACUGGCUCUAUGGCUGCUGAACCGCUGACUGAUGGCCAUCUGUGUUGUGUCAAAAGCACCAAAUUUACCCACACAGAUAGCAGUAAUUGCUCUAUUGUGUCGUCCCUAUGGGUUUGUGUGUUUGUGUGCAUGCAGUUUGGCAUCAGGAUCCAGGGCUUUUUUGUUGCUGUUGUCAAGCCGUGUGGAGACUUUCUCCUUAUCUAUUGUAAAAACACAUGUAGUUGUUUAUUUGGUUCUUAUUUUGAUGUCAUGAACAGGGAUGGUCAGUAAAUUAAAGUAUAAUAUCUUAAGUUUUUAUCAUUUUAAUUUUUCCCUGUGGUGCAUUGAUAAUGUUAGUCAUGGUUUCUUGUGCCAAAGCAGUUUAGUUUUGAUGACUAUUUUCGACCUUCUCUUUGACCCUUAGAAAUAAACAGGCUAUUUUUGCUGUUGUGCCUUAAUGACUGUGUAAACACUCCUUUCACCGGCGCUUUGCUGCUUUUCCUCAUGAGUUGUGAGUUUAAAAAUGAUCUAAAUAAAUUAGUCAGCCUCACCGAUUGACUUGUCGUCCAAGUUUUAUGUAAUGCUUUAUUUAAUGGUCUAGUUUCAGAUUAAUGCAUCCAGUUGCUACACAUUUAGAUUUGUAACAAGUCAUUUUUGUGGCAUAGUUUUUGAAAUAUGUAACCUUGAACCACAAAACCAGUCUUAAGUAGCACGGCUAUAUUUGUAGCAAUAGCCAAAAUAGCCAAUUGUAUAGGUCAAAAUGAUCAUUUUUUCUUUUAUGCCAAAAAAUCUUCAGAAUAUUAAGUAAAGAUCAUGUUCCAUGCCGAUACUUUGUAAAUUUCCUACCGGAAAUAUAUCAAAACUUAAUUUUUGAUUAAUAUGCAUUGCUAAGAACUUAAUUUGGACAACUUUAAAGGCAGUUCUCUUCAAAUAGUUUUAUCUAGACCAAAUAUUGUCCUAACCUAACAAAUUUUAAUAUGAUGUAGAAAUCUCAAUUUCCAAAAAUUGACCCUUAUGAGGGACACAUAUGCUCUAUGAAUGGAAGUUGUAAGUUGUUUAGCAUUGUUUUAGUGUUAUAUACUGUAGUUUUUAUCCAUAUUUUGAUUUUAUUUUAUAUUUUCUGUUUCCAUUUUAAUUUCAGUUAAAUUUUUUGUAAUUUUGUUAUAGGGGUGAACCGACAUAUGUUUUUCAAGGCAGAUACGAUACCGAUUAUUACAGAUCAAGUAGACCGAUAACCGAUAUUUUGAACCGAUGUAUAUAUUAUAUAUUGUGUAAAAAUUAAAAAUAAAAUUAAUGACAAAAUUAAGAAUAACAAGGGCUCUGACAAAAACUUUCUUUGAAUACUUUUAAAUUAUUUCAUCUGUAAAUCGAUUUUGAAAAUGACCGAUAACAAUAUACAAAAAAUGCUUAAUAUUGGCACCAGUAAUCAGUCUACCCCUGUUUUGUUA